CUACGGGAGGCAGCAGUGAGGAAUAUUGCACAAUGGGGGAACCCUGAUGCAGCAACGCCGCGUGGAGGAUGACGCAUUUCGGUGUGUAAACUCCUUUUAUAUGUCAAGAAAAUGACGGUAGCAUAUGAAUAAGCACCGGCUAACUCCGUGCCAGCAGCCGCGGUAAUACGGAGGGUGCAAGCGUUACUCGGAAUCACUGGGCGUAAAGGACGCGUAGGCGGGGUGGAAAGUCAGGUGUGAAAUCCUACAGCUUAACUGUAGAACUGCACUUGAAACUUCUAAUCUAGAGUAUGGGAGGGGGAGAUGGAAUUAGUAGUGUAGGGGUAAAAUGCGUAGAUAUCACUAGGAAUACCUAAAGCGAAGGCGAUCUCCUGGAACAUUACUGACGCUAAGGCGUGAAAGCGUGGGGAGCAAACAGGAUUAGAUACCCGCGUAUUC
rnacentral:rRNA from 1 species